GAUGAAGAACGCAGCGAAAUGCGAUAAGUAAUGCGAAUUGCAGAAUUCAGUGAGUCAUCGAAUCUUUGAACGCACAUUGCGCCCGCCAGUAUUCUGGCGGGCAUGCCUGUUCGAGCGUCAUUUCAACCAUCAAGCCCCCGGCUUGUGUUGGGGACCUGCGGCUGCCGCAGGCCCUGAAAACCAGUGGCGGGCUCGCUAGUCACUCCGAGCGUAGUAAUACAUCUCGCUCAGGGCGUGCUGCGGGUUCCGGCCGUUAAAAAGCCUUAUUUACCCAAGGUUGACCUCGGAUCAGGUAGGAAGACCCGCUGAACUUAAGCAUAUCAAUAAGCGGAGGA
rnacentral:misc_RNA from 1 species